ACCCAACAUCCUGAAUUCAAUUGAAAACUCAACAGCAUCAAAAUGAUCAAGUACAUCGUCUUCUUCCUCAUCAUUGCCAUCAUCUGCCAAUUCUCUAUGGCCGGUUUAGUUCCCGACAUAAGUGCCUCAAGUUCCAAGGCCGUAGCAGCAGCUGCAGCCGCCAGUAAGUCCGUCUCUUCUAGCCUCUUGCCUUGCUGAAGUUCUCUUGGAAAAAUGAUACCAACAUGGCCGGCCAGGAAAGACCGUCAAUUUAUGAACGCUGUUGAGAUAUUAUUUCUAUUAUUUUUCUACAUAUAUUAGUACCCAAUCACAAGUAAUUUUUCAUGAAAAAUACCAUGAAGUUAUCCAAUAAAAAGCAGUGAAAGCAA